AGCGAACGCUGGCGGCAGGCCUAACACAUGCAAGUCGAACGAACCCUUCGGGGUUAGUGGCGGACGGGUGAGUAACACGUGGGAACGUGCCUUUAGGUUCGGAAUAACUCAGGGAAACUUGUGCUAAUACCGAAUGAGCCCUUAGGGGGAAAGAUUUAUCGCCGAAAGAGCGGCCCGCGUUAGAUUAGCUAGUUGGUGAGGUAAAGGCUCACCAAGGCUACGAUCUAUAGCUGGUCUGAGAGGAUGAUCAGCCACACUGGGACUGAGACACGGCCCAGACUCCUACGGGAGGCAGCAGUGGGGAAUCUUGCGCAAUAGGCGAAAGCCUGACGCAGCCAUGCCGCGUGAAUGAUGAAGGUCUUAGGAUUAUAAAAUUCUUUUACCAGGGACGAUAAUGACGGUACCUGGAGAAAAAGCCCCGGCUAGCUUCGUGCCAGCCGCCGCGGUAAUAC
rnacentral:rRNA from 1 species